UUUUUUUUUUUUGAAGGUCUCUUCAAAUGUUUAUUUUUGUCAGAAGAGCUGACAAUUUUCUGUUGAGAGUUUUGGUCUACUGUUAUAACAAGCAUUUCUCCUUUGAAAAUCCCACUCAAAACAUCUCAUUCUUUGAGGUAAAGAACUUAAAAAAUGAUUUUUAAAGAAACAAUUAUUAAAAUUCCUUUAGCAUGAUAAAUAGAAAUAAUCUUGUUUUUUAUUUUACCCUGGUGAAUAUAUAUGUAUUUUAUACAACAAAGUAUCUCUUCUCUUAUUGGCAAGCCGCAGGUGAGAAUUACCCACGCUCACGCACACUCAUCAUAGGUCACAGUGCAGCCGUGCCAUGCUCAUACAGACGGUAAAAGGAACAAUUAUCAAUACUCUUCUGGCAAAACAACCCAGGUUUUGGAAUGGCAAAAGCAAAAGAAGUUUAGGCAUCAAAGCAGCUCCGGGAGGCAUCAGUCUGAGUCUUCAUCAUCGAGGUAGUCCUCAGCAUUGCUUAACGUUCGAGACCCAUCUGUUGCCUGCUUCUUCUUCAGGAGCGAUGCACAGGCAGCGUUGGUGGCCAUGUCCAAGGCUAGCUUCUUCUCAUUCUGCGUGCAGAGCCGUGUCUCCCAGCUUGUUCUGCUGGUUCAGUUCCACAUUCGGCUGAGUAAACAGAACCUCCACUAUGUCUUUGUGGCCACCGUGGCAGUACAGGGCUGUGCUUCCAGCUUCGUCCAGGCUUUGUUCACGCCCACUCGGUUGUCCAAGCACUCCCUCAGCCAGCUCAAGUUGCCUCUUUUUGCAGCCUCAUACAAUGGAUUGUCAAUGGAUUCUGCCUGCUCAGCCACAUAGUUGCUUGGGAUCAGUCCUGUUCUGCCUUUGAAUGUCCCUUUCCACCAGCUGGUGUCACUCAUGUCAGUGAUGUAGAUAAUAUCUCCUUCUUCGAAGUAUAAUUCAUCUGGAGUUCUGGGUUCAAAUGUAUAUAGAGCUCUGAAGACUUUAACUUGCCCUGGUUUGACCGGUUUGGGAGGUGGCUUGGACAUGGCGCUACUCGGAGCGGCCAGGCUCAGCCGCUGGAGCCCCACACGCAGACAGGAACUGGGGGCCAAGCCUGUGCUAGCCGCGGCUGCUCCGGACCCGCGCGCAACCCGAAGCGGGAC
rnacentral:lncRNA from 1 species